CAAGGUGUUAAAUCGUCAGGAUGAGAACCGUAGAGGUUCGAGUCUCGCAAAGCGAGACAACAUCACCCCGGUGAUGGCCCGUUAGGGCGAGGCCAAAGGCCGAGUUAUCCUGCACGACCCACCA
rnacentral:sRNA from 2 species